rnacentral:rRNA from 1 species
ACGGCAGCACGGACUUCGGUCUGGUGGCGAGUGGCGAACGGGUGAGUAAUACAUCGGAACGUGUCCUGGAGUGGGGGAUAGCCCGGCGAAAGCCGGAUUAAUACCGCAUACGCUCUGUGGAGGAAAGGGGGGGAUCUUAGGACCUCUCGCUCAAGGGGCGGCCGAUGGCAGAUUAGCUAGUUGGUGGGGUAAAGGCCUACCAAGGCGACGAUCUGUAGCUGGUCUGAGAGGACGACCAGCCACACUGGGACUGAGACACGGCCCAGACUCCUACGGGAGGCAGCAGUGGGGAAUUUUGGACAAUGGGCGCAAGCCUGAUCCAGCAAUGCCGCGUGUGUGAAGAAGGCCUUCGGGUUGUAAAGCACUUUUGUCCGGAAAGAAAACCUCUGUCCUAAUACGGCGGGGGGAUGACGGUACCGGAAGAAUAAGCACCGGCUAACUACGUGCCAGCAGCCGCGGUAAUACGUAGGGUGCAAGCGUUAAUCGGAAUUACUGGGCGUAAAGCGUGCGCAGGCGGUCCGCUAAGACAGAUGUGAAAUCCCCGGGCUUAACCUG